rnacentral:rRNA from 1 species
UGGGGAAUAUUGCACAAUGGGCGCAAGCCUGAUGCAGCCAUGCCGCGUGUAUGAAGAAGGCCUUCGGGUUGUAAAGUACUUUCAGUCGGGAGGAAGGUGGUAAGGUUAAUAACCUUAUCAAUUGACGUUACCGACAGAAGAAGCACCGGCUAACUCCGUGCCAGCAGCCGCGGUAAUACGGAGGGUGCAAGCGUUAAUCGGAAUUACUGGGCGUAAAGCGCACGCAGGCGGUUUGUUAAGUCAGAUGUGAAAUCCUCGGGCUCAACCUGGGAACUGCAUCUGAUACUGGCAAGCUUGAGUCUCGUAGAGGGGGGUAGAAUUCCAGGUGUAGCGAUGAAAUGCGUAGAGAUCUGGAGGAAUACCGGUGGCGAAGGCGGCCCCCUGGACAAAGACUGACGCUCAGGUGCGAAAGCGUGGGGAGCAAACAGG